AGAAAAGAUACACUUACAGUGUCGUCUAUAGUUUAAAUAAUUACCUUUUUAAUUGGUGUUCUUUGUUCACUUACAUGGUUCCUAAUUAUGAGGUUACUUUUGCUUUUGGCCUGAAGAACGUUUUUAGUAUUUUCUGUAAGGUAGGAGUGCUGGCUACAAAUUCUCUCAGCUUUUUCUUUUCUGAGAAAGUCUCUAUUUGCUUUUAUUUUUGAGAGAGUGUUUUGCUGGCUAUAGGAGUCUAAGAGUCUUUGUUUCAUUUGCUCCCUUUGAGCACUAUGAAUCUGUUAUUCCACUGCCUUCUGUCCAUUGUUUCUGUUGAGAAAUUCACUGAAUACCGCACUGGGUUGAUCUAUAUAUAUCAUAUUUUCCUUACCUAUUUGUUGGUUCCUGGGCACUUAGGUUGGGCCCAUAUCUUGCAAUUGCAAAUUGUACUGCUAUAAACAUGGGUGUGCAAAUGUCUUUUUAAUAUAAUGACUGUUUCCUUUGGAUAGCUACCCACUAGUGGGAUUUCUGGAUCAAACGGUUGUUCUACUUUUCGUUCUUUAAGAAAUCUCCACACUGUUUUUCAUAGUGGUUGUAUUUGUUUACAUUCCUACCAGGGGUGUAAAAGUGUUCCCUUUUCAACACAUGCAUAUGCAUACCAACAUCUUGUUUUUUCACUCUUUAAUUGUGGUCAUACUUGCAGGAUUAAUUGUGGUGUUCAUUUGCAUUUCCCUGAUCAUUAGUGAUGUUGAGCAUUUUUUCAUGUUUUUUGGCAGUUUGUAUAUCUUCUCUUGAUAAUUGUCUGUUCAUGUCCUUUGCCCACCUUUUAAUGUGAUUGCUUUUUUAUUGCUGAUUUGUUUAAGUUUAUUGUGGCUUCUGGAUAUUAGUCCUUUGUCAGAUGCAUAGUUUUUGAAUAUAUUGUCCCACUCUAUGGGUUGUCUGUUUACUCUGCUGGAUAUUUCUUUUGCUGUGCAGGAAAUUUUUGGUUUAAUUAGGUCCCACUUACUCAUUUUUGGUUUUAUACAU
rnacentral:lncRNA from 1 species